AGCGAACGCUGGCAGUAUGCUUAACACAUGCAAGUCGAACGAAAGUAGCAAUACUUUAGUGGCAAACGGGUGAGUAAUGCAUAGGAAUCUACCUUGUAGCGGGGGACAACCACUGGAAACGGUGGCUAAUACCGCAUAAGCCGGAAACGGGAAAGGCAUCAUUAGUUUGUUAUUUAUGUUCAUUAUGGAUAUGAAUAACUGACUAAGAUGUCACUAUAAGAGGAGCCUAUGUCUGAUUAGCUAGUUGGUAGGGUAAAGGCCUACCAAGGCUACGAUCAGUAGCCGGUCUGAGAGGAUGAUCGGGCCACACUGGAACUGAGACACGGUCCAGACUCCUACGGGAGGCAGCAGUGGGGAAUAUUGGACAAUGGGCGAAAGCCUGAUCCAGCAAUACUGCGUGAAUGAUGAAGGCCCUCUGGGUUGUAAAAUUC
rnacentral:rRNA from 1 species